CCCUAUGGGGUGCCAUGAAAAAAUGAUGUUGACGUUAUUCGGCGAAUACUGUAUCCGUAUCCGAACUGGUCCGGUUUUUCCGCGGAAUAAUUAUCCUGCACACUUAUGACGACAUGAUCUGGAAUAAAUUGCCCCGUUGAACAGAACAGCCUGAAGCGUCUUGAUAAUACCGUGCGAAUGAUUGAUAUUAUAAACAGAGUCAGGGAGAUAUGAAAUGAGAGUCAGAUUUGCGCCGAGCCCCACGGGGUUUCUUCAUAUAGGCAACGCGAGAACUGCGAUAUGCAAUUUCCUUAUUGCGAAGAAGAACAACGCGACGCUUCUCCUGAGAAUUGAAGACACCGACAUGGAGAAGAGUACCAUGGAAUCGGAAGUGUCAAUCCUCAAUGACCUGAAAUGGCUUGGUAUAGAAUGGCGGGGGGGC
rnacentral:rRNA from 1 species